UACGGAGGAUCCGAGCGUUAUCCGGAUUUAUUGGGUUUAAAGGGAGCGUAGGCGGAUUGUUAAGUCAGUUGUGAAAGUUUGCGGCUCAACCGUAAAAUUGCAGUUGAAACUGGCAGUCUUGAGUACAGUAGAGGUGGGCGGAAUUCGUGGUGUAGCGGUGAAAUGCUUAGAUAUCACGAAGAACUCCGAUUGCGAAGGCAGCUCACUGGACUGCAACUGACACUGAGGCUCGAAAGUGUGGGUAUCAAACAGG
rnacentral:rRNA from 1 species